rnacentral:lncRNA from 1 species
GCGGGGAAGUGAGGGUGGCGCGGGCGUGAAGCUUGGGGCAGGUGCGGGAGCAGGGGAGACAGGAUAGGGCAAGAAGGGAGGAUUGGUAGGGGCGUGGGCCUCGGGGCAGGGGCAGGGAAGCUUGGCAUGGCGACACAGUGCCUGGUGGACGAGCGCAGUGCGGGUGUGUGUGUCUGGCGGAGGCCCGGGUAGCCAGUCUUAGCUCGCUUCCGCCACGAGGGUGAAAAUAAUCCUUAGUGCGAAACUACCGCCUCGCUAUGUGUCUGCUAGGUAAAGAGAACACGGGGCAGCCUCCCACAAGUGCUCAUCUCUCAGUGCUUACUCGCAGUGUGCAUGGGAGACGAGACAGGCGGUGAGACGGUGAGGUAGAGAUUGAGAUAGAGAGAAAGAGUAAUAAGAAUCGAGGCGGAGUGUUGUGAGAAGCUCAGUUUUGUGAGUGCGGCAGAAAACGUGGUGUGUGUUCAUAGUUAUUAAUUACCGCCAAGGAACUUCAAUAGAAUCCUUGGUUAUCGCUGAGGUGGAGUUCUUGUGUGAAAAACGCUGUGUGAGGACCAACUGUAUAAUCUACACGCCCCUCCAUUCAUCUUGCCUUGCAGAGAAGCGUCACGAAAACUGUAUCCCUGAGAAACAUAGACACUAGAAGCCAGCGGAGUGCAGCAGAACGCAAGAGUAAUGAAGAGUUUAAGAAGGGGAACCCGGAAAUAAGAUCGGGGUGAGGGACCGUCCGCCGGCAACACUGAAACAAAAAGUGAUCUGGAUGACGUCACUGACAACAAACUGGUUCCGGAGGCGGGAAGGCAGCCAAUAAAAUGUUUAUCAGGUGCAAGGACGCGGCUCUCCCGGGAAAACAGUUCUCGGAAGUGUAAAUAAGCACCGAUAAGAGGCGCAAGGAGGAGGAGAGGGAAGAAAAGCCUUAUAAACUUUGCCACCAUGUUGUUGCGGAGGACAAGCUCAAGAUCGGGAAGAUAACUCUGGGCAGUGACUUUCGUGCCAUGAUGGAAAAACUGACGCACGAUGGACGGAGUACGUUAAUUUUCUAGUGGUGUACGAAAGUGAUUUUACAAAAGACCUGAAAAAAGCUCUGACCAAUAGAAUAAUGAUAAGUUAUGUGACCGUUCUAACUUCAUAUUGUGAUUGAGAAGUUGACGUGCUUUGAAAUAAAUAUGUAGUGUGUCACUUUUUGUAACUGUUUACGAGAGUUAAUUGUGAGUGAAUGUAAUUAGUAGAUAUAACUGAAGAAAAAUUAUAAGCUAAUGAAAUAUGUGCGAGUAAAAGUGACUACUCAAAUGACAAUGUACUAUGAAUUAUGGAAAAAAAGAACUUAGUGAUAUACAAUGAAAUAGAUAAUGAAAUGUAAUAAUCAAUACAAACAAAAGAAAAAAAAACGAGUAUGGAAAAAGUAAGCAAUGAAAUACAAUGUUAAAAAGAAAUAACAAUAAAUACACUGAAGAAAAACAAGAAUUUAAUAAUCGAAUAGGUGAUUACAGGAAAACAAAAGGCAGAAAAUGACAAUCUACAUGAAAUUACAAUGAAGACAAAGAGAAACUUGACACAUGAUAUAGACAUAGCAAUAAAGCGAUGAAGCAGCAGAAAAAUGAUGAACUAGAGAAAUGAAACACAGAAAUAAUAACGAUGAAAAUAAAUAAACAUAAAAAAUAAAAAAAAAACAGAAAUAAACUAUAAUAAAACGGUGAAGUGGCAGGAAAAUGAUGAAAAAGAGUAAUAAAACAACAAUAAAAAUAACGAUGAAAGUAAAAACAAAUAUAACGAUAAAAAAACCCAGAGAAAUAAACAUAAUGAAGCGGUGAAGCGGCAGGAAAAUGAUAAAAUAGAGAAAUAGAUUGACGAUAAGUGGACGCUAUGAAGGAAAACGUUGUAUAGACGAGAGAAGAAGGCGACGUGAAAUGCGCAAAACAAAUGAAGAUCGCUCGCCCAAAAAGACUCUUAGAUAAAACAAAUGAAAAUAGACAGAGAGAGAGAGAGAGAGAGAGAGAGAGAGAGAGAGAGAGAGAGAUAAAAAAAAAAAUGUUAAGUGAAAAUAAAGGGAGAUGUUUACGAUUACUGAAACGAUAAAUGCCAGAAUGAAUGAUAUAAUUAAUAGAGCAUUUUGAAAUGUUUAUACUUGAGGUAAAAGGAACUUAAAACAAGUGAACAUCGGGCUGAAUGAAGAAAAAAGAAACACAACGAAGAUAAAUGAAUUAACCAUCACCAUUACGAAACUAUAAGUCAAGAAAACACGAUAACAAAAAAAAAAAAGAGAAGGAAAAUUAACGAAAUAAAGAUGAAAAGCUGAAAAUUUGCCCAGAAAAACAUAAAUAGACACAACGGAAGAGGAUGAAAAGAGACACAAAAAAGGUGGCAGUGUAAACAACAUAA